rnacentral:rRNA from 1 species
GGAAUCUUCCGCAAUGGACGAAAGUCUGACGGAGCAACGCCGCGUGAGCGAAGAAGGUCUUCGGAUCGUAAAGCUCUGUUGUUAGGGAAGAACAAGUACCGUUCGAAUAGGGCGGUACCGUGACGGUACCUAACCAGAAAGCCACGGCUAACUACGUGCCAGCAGCCGCGGUAAUACGUAGGUGGCAAGCGUUGUCCGGAAUUAUUGGGCGUAAAGCGCGCGCAGGCGGCUUCUUAAGUCUGAUGUGAAAGCCCGCAGCUCAACUGCGGAGGGUCAUUGGAAACUGGGAAGCUUGAGUGCAGAAGAGGAGAGUGGAAUUCCACGUGUAGCGGUGAAAUGCGUAGAGAUGUGGAGGAACACCAGUGGCGAAGGCGGCUCUCUGGUCUGUAACUGACGCUGAGGCGCGAAAGCGUGGGGAGCAAA